rnacentral:rRNA from 1 species
UACGUAGGGUGCAAACGUUAUGCGGAAUCACUGGGCUUAAAGGGUGCGAAGGCGGUCUGCUAAGCAGGGUGUGAAAGCCCCCGGCUCAACCGGGGAAUUGCGCCCUGAACUGGCAGGCUUGAGUGAGAUAGAGGUGUGGGGAACUUCCGGUGGAGCGGUGAAAUGUGUUGAUAUCGGAAGGAACGCCAGAGGCGAAAGCGCCACACUGGGUCUCAACUGACGCUGAGGCACGAAAGCCAGGGGAGCAAACGGG